rnacentral:rRNA from 1 species
CCUACGGGAGGCAGCAGUGAGGAAUAUUAGUCAAUGGACGAGAGUCUGAACCAGCCAAGUAGCGUGAAGGAUGACUGCCCUAUGGGUUGUAAACUUCUUUUAUAAAGGAAUAAAACGAGGCACGUGUGCCUUUUUGCAUGUACUUUAUGAAUAAGGAUCGGCUAACUCCGUGCCAGCAGCCGCGGUAAUACGGAGGAUCCGAGCGUUAUCCGGAUUUAUUGGGUUUAAAGGGAGCGUAGAUGGGUUGUUAAGUCAGUUGUGAAAGUUUGCGGCUAAACCGUAAAAUUGCAAUUGAUACUGGCAGUCGUGAGUACAGUUGAGGUAGGCGGAAUUCGUGGGGUAGCGGUGAAAUGCUUAGAUAUCACGAAGAACCCCGAUUGCGAAGGCAGCUUACUAAACUGUGACUGACAUUGAUGCUCGAAAGUGUGGGUAUCAAACAGGAUUAGAUACCCCAGUAGUC